rnacentral:rRNA from 1 species
GAUGAACGCUGACAGAAUGCUUAACACAUGCAAGUCUACUUGAAUUUGGGUUUUUAACUUAGAUUUGGGUGGCGGACGGGUGAGUAACGCGUAAAGAACUUGCCUCACAGCUAGGGACAACAUUUAGAAAUGAAUGCUAAUACCUAAUAUUAUGAUAAUAGGGCAUCCUAUAAUUAUGAAAGCUAUAUGCGCUGUGAGAGAGCUUUGCGUCCCAUUAGCUAGUUGGAGAGGUAACAGCUCACCAAGGCGAUGAUGGGUAGCCGGCCUGAGAGGGUGAUCGGCCACAAGGGGACUGAGACACGGCCCUUACUCCUACGGGAGGCAGCAGUGGGGAAUAUUGGACAAUGGACCGAGAGUCUGAUCCAGCAAUUCUGUGUGCACGAUGAAGUUUUUCGGAAUGUAAAGUGCUUUCAGUUGGGAAGAAAGAAAUGACGGUACCAACAGAAGAAGUGACGGCUAAAUACGUGCCAGCAGCCGCGGUAAUACGUAUGUCACGAGCGUUAUCCGGAUUUAUUGGGCGUAGAGCGCGUCUAGGUGGUUAUAUAAGUCUGAUGUGAAAAUGCAGGGCUCAACUCUGUAUUGCGUUGGAAACUGUAUAACUAGAGUACUGGAGAGGUAAGCGGAACUACAAGUGUAGAGGUGAAAUUCGUAGAUAUUUGUAGGAAUGCCGAUGGGGAAGCCAGCUUACUGGACAGAUACUGACGCUGAAGCGCGAAAGCGUGGGUAGCAAACAGG